rnacentral:snRNA from 1 species
GCAUAUGAGGGCAAUCUCGCUAAAAUAGCUUCCACGACAUGGAUUACUGGGGUUGACUCAGUGACCUGGAUGACUUGGAAGGUGUUCCCUUCUUCCUAGCCAUUCCAUGUGUGUCCCUGCCUGACAGGAGAACUGAUCUUUGUCCAAAGAUAUGCAGAUAGCUACCCUCCUCAGCUAGAAUCUCCAAACAAGCUCUCAAGAGGCACUAAUGAGAUAAGCAAUUAAAUAGAUACAACUAGUAUUCAUU